rnacentral:rRNA from 1 species
GAUGAACGCUGGCGGCGUGCCUAAUACAUGCAAGUCGAGCGAACAGACGAGGAGCUUGCUCCUCUGACGUUAGCGGCGCACGGGUGAGUCACACGUGGAUAACCUCCCUAUCAGACUGGGAUAACUUCGGGAAUCCGGCGCUAAUACCGUAUAAUAUCUUGAACCGCAUGGUUCAUUAGUGAAAUACGGCUUUGGUGUAUCUUCUCGAUGGAUAUGCGCCGCAUUAGGUAGUUGGUAAGGUAAAGGCUUAUCAAGGCAACGAUGCGUAGCCGACCUGCGAGGGUGAUCGGCCACACUGGAAGUUGGACAGGGUCCAGACUACUACGGGAGGCACCAGUAGGGAAUCGGCCGCAGUAGGCGAAAGCCUUGCGGAGCAACGGCACGUGAGUUAUAGAGGUCUUCGGAGCGUGAAACUGUGUUACUAGGUAAGAACAAAUGUGUAAGUAACUAUACACGGCUUGACGGUACCUGGUCAGAAAGCCACGGCUAACUACGUG